rnacentral:rRNA from 1 species
AUUGAACGCUAGCGGGAUGCCUUACACAUGCAAGUCGAACGGAGUGGCGAACGGGUGAGGAAUGUAUCGGAACGUGCCCAGUAGCGGGGGAUAACUACGCGAAAGCGUAGCUAAUACCGCAUACUAUUGGAGCGGCCGAUAUCGGAUUAGCUAGUUGGUGGGGUAACGGCUCACCAAGGAGACGCUCCGUAGCUGGUUUGAGAGGACGACCAGCCCCACGGGGGCUGAAGCGCGGCCCAGACUCCUACGGGAGGCAGCAGUGGGGAAUUUGGGACAAUGGGGGAAACCCUGAUCCAGCCACCCCGCGUUUGCGAUUAAGGCCUUCGGGUUUUAAAGCACUUUUGGCAGGUAAGCGGUACCUGCAGAAUAAGCACCGGCUAACUACGUGCCAGCAGCCGCGGUAAUUC